UAUCUGAUAGAAAGGAAAAUAAAAAGCACAAAAUCAGGAAAGUGCAGAACCGGGGAUAACGCUGAAAAUGACAGUUGUACCACUGGCAAUAGCAGUUGAUCCCAGGUACUGUCGUUGGCGCCAUCAAUUUUCUCUGUUCAUCAGCCAUGACCCAUGGUUUCGUCCGAUGGCCAUUCAAGCUGCUCGCAAAUACCCGAAUUUGGCUGAGUACUACCAGAAAAACGCCACCAAGUUUUGGGACAAUUUCUAUAAGCGCCAUAAAAACAAGUUCUUCAAAGAUAGACAUUACUUGGAGAAGGACUGGGGGCAAUACUUUUCUGAUGAUGCUAAUUCCGCUAAUGUCAAGGUUCUUUUAGAGGUUGGUUGUGGAGCUGGCAAUACAAUCUUUCCACUUAUUGCAGCAUAUCCCGAACUUUAUGUGCAAGCUUGUGAUAUCUCACCUCAUGCAAUCGCGCUUGUUAAGUCACAUGCGGAGUUCAAAGAAGAUCGGGUGAAUGCAUUUCUAUGUGAUGUUACAGUUGACAAUCUUCUUGAAAGGAUUAAUCCGUCUUCAGUUGAUGUAAUUACCUUGAUUUUCAUGCUUUCUGCAGUUUCUCCACAUAAAAUGCCUUCGAUAUUACAGAAUAUUAAAAGAGUACUAAAGAUGGUUAUGUUCUCUUGCGAGAUUACGCCAUUGGAGAUUUUGCACAAUUGGCAUGCACCUUUCUUCUUUUGUUGCAUGCUUUCAACUUAUAAGGUGAAGCUAGAAAACAAGAAUCAGAUGAUAAGUGAGGGCUUUUAUGUACGCGGUGAUGGAACUUGUUCAUUUUACUUUUCUGAGGACUUCUUGUCAACCUUAUUUUUCCAAGCUGGCUUCAACACUGUAGAUAUCAGCACAUACUGCAAGCAAAUCAAGAAUAGUCAUAAGAAUAUAACUAUGGAUAGGCGCUGGGUACGAGCUGUUUUUAAAAAUUUGGAGUGAUAUUCCGGGGCUAGCCGAGAUUAUGUAACCCAGAUGAUAGUACUGUGAUUCAUAUAUUGAGUGCUCAUUGAUCAGCCACAGCCAGGUUUGGGUGUUUUUGUGGCUGGGUGUUAUAGUCCCAAUAUAUUUUUUUGCUUCAGAUGCUCCAUACUUGAAGCUUGACCAUCCCUGAUGUGAGGGUCGGCAUGGGACCUAUGUUAGAACUCCAUUGCCUAAAAUCCAUGGAAGGAAAAGGUCAACUUUUAUCAAAUUAGUUGUGGCAGUCUGGCAGACAGGAUCCCGCUUGCUGUUGAUAUUCAACUUACAUUAAGAAAUUAUUCUUUUCUCUUAUUUAAAAAGAAGGAAAGGAUCCUCCUUGUUGGCCGCUAUUUAAGACAUCAGUAGAUGCAGAUGGUUGGCCUUUCUGUUCCCAGUAAACCUCCUGUCGUGCUACUGGAAAUUUUAGGUUCUGGAUGUGAUGCAGACUUUGCAAAUGGACCGGAACUAAUUAUAUAGGUUUAUAAUCAAAAGAUAUCGUCUUCAAGCCUCCAAGGUGGAUUUUCCAUGUUAGCAAGAAUGAGAAAUAGAAGUAUAAGUAUUAAUCCAUAGGAAAAAUUUCAGGGUGAUCUCUAGAAUUACUCCAGGUCUACAGGCACUGCAACGACUUUUAUCUUCUAUGAUGAAAAUGACUUGGCUCUUCUCAACUGCUGAGGAGGUCCGGUACAAGUUACAAAUGACCAACAGUUUGCUUCACCAGGCUUCCUGUUUGACUUUCCAGCAACACCCCUGUUGGAUGGAAGGAUGUUGGACUUCCACACUCUGGUUAUCGAUACUAACCUUUGCCAUCCGCUUCUUUCAGUGAUCUACAUUUGAAUGCAAUUUCUACAUUAGGGUUGUUUGUCAUUUUAUCUUGAUUAUGCAUAAUGUAAAAUAGACUAGUGACUGUAAUCUUCAUGCAUUAACUAACCUGAUUUUCUUGUGAUCUAAUCUCUGGAACUGAAAUAUGAAGAGGUGGCUUAGAAGCAACUUUCUCGCUGUUGUUGGCUUCGUGUUGAAUCUCACUGUUGUUCGCUUCAUGUUGAAGUUCGAGAUUCCUAAGGCGAUUCAGCUCUGGUAACACAACUGAAUCAAGGUCUGGCCUAUCUCUUUUCCUUAGCUCACAGCACUGUAAAGCGAGUUUUGCUAAUGAUAAAGCCUCUUCAACGGGCCAGUCUGGUACUGUUGGAUCAAGCAUUUCUGCAAAGGUUCCUUUUUCUAUUGCCUCCUGGAUAUGGACAGUCAAUCCAACUGGUGGCUUUGACGUUAGCAGCUGUAAUAGAACCACACCAAGUGAAUAUAGAUCUGAUUUUACACCUAGCAUUCCUGUUUGCUGAUACUCUGGGUCAAUGUAACAAAAUGUUCCCCGAGCUGCUGUUAAGCGAUAUUGAGCAACACCAUCUGCAAUAGAUGCUGGAACCAGUCGGGACAAGCCAACAUCACUAAUCUUGCUCACAUAAUUCUUGUCUAAGAGAAUGUUUGCAGGCUUGAGGUCACGAUGUACCAGUGGCUCUGGCUUUGUUUGAUGAAGGAACAGAAGGCCUGUAGCAAUCUCAGCCGCUAUUCUAAACCUGAUUUUCCAUGGUAUUGAGGGAGUGUUGUCUUUUCUAAAGAGCCGAUCUUCUAAGCUUCCAUUUUCCAUGUAUUCAUAAACCAGACAUCCAUACUCAGGGCAGGCACCUAUGAGCAAAACCAGGUGUGGAUGUCUCAUGCAGCUUAGAACCUCAACCUACAUUACAAAUUUAUUUAAUACAAAUGAAAGGAAGGAAGAAGGACAGAUAAGUUCUGCCACUAUAAACACAUGAAGGUAAGACCAUACUCUUUAUCUCCCCUCUAUUUGGCUAGAGAAAUUGCUGUGGACAUCAUAUUUGUUGGUUUUCUAGGUGGCAGGGCUUUUAAAGGCUUUUAUAAGUCAUUACCAUCUUAAAUUAUAAGACUAUGAACAAGUUUAAAAGAAGCUAUAAAAGGAACAUUUCUAUAAAUUUAAAAUGAAAUUAACUCAACAUUCUUUGCUAGUCCUUACUCAUUUCAGAUAUUACAUUCAGCUAUCAUUAUAAUGUCAAAUGAUGCCCACCUCAUUCAUUUCUGGCACUUUUUUUUAUUUCUUAUUGUGAUAUAUAGAAGCUGUGGUUUUAAAUAUACUGCAAUUGACAGAUUACCUAUAAUGCAGCUUUGAGUUUUACUAUAAGAGAUGAUUCAAACUUCUUCACCAAGAAAAGAGAUACCCAAUGUUUUGGGACACCGUAACAUUCAAUGAAGUUUAAUUGUUCUUAGGAAACAGGAUUAACAAGCAUAGUUACCUCUUGUUGGAAUUGCUUCUGUCCUUGUGAUAUAUCUGGCCUUAAGAUCUUGAUGGCUACAGCAGUAUGGUCAAGGGUGGCUUUAAAAACCGGCCCAUAUCCUCCUUCACCAAUCUUAUGUGCACUCGCGAAGUAAUCUGUCGCAGCUUCAAUGUCAUCAAGGGUGUAUUUUCUAUAAGCAGCUUUAUUGUUAACCAGCUUAUCUAGUGCUCUCUGUUUUUCUUCUUCCUCCUGAUUGGCUUUCAAUUCUGCGAGUUUUCUCUUCCGUGCCUCCAUAUCUGCUAAACGUUGUGCUGUCUGUGCUGCAUCCAUAGCAGCCUUGGUUUUUUCCCUUUCUGCCUCUGCCAAAGCCACUGCUGCCUCCUCAGAAAGCUUGGCUUCCUCUAAUUUGCGCUCUUCUGCUUCUUUCCAUUCCUGAAGCUCCUUCAGCUGGGAAAAGAAAAGGCCCAGUCAAGCAAACUGGAAGUAUAUUGCUAAGUUUUUAUUGAUAAGAUCACAUAUGAUCAUAAACAUCCAAUCUUACCUUAUCUUUUGCUACAACAGCUUCUUCGCAAACUGAUUUAAACAUAUCCAUGGAUCUCUUUAAUUCUUUUCGAAGUCGCUUCAUCUCAACCUCCAAGCCUCGCUAUGUAACCCAUGGAAAAGAUGAAAUAUGUCUCAAUAAUAUGGUAAUGGACUCAUAAAAUAAGGAAUUGGAACAUAUAUUUAGGCCAUAGGAAGACAGAUUCAUUUUGGACUGAAGCGCACCAGUCACUGUAUUCAUGGUAAUCAGGCAACCAUAGUUUACAUAUUUGUAAUGUAAUGCUAUCUUGAAUUUCAUCCAUUUUAGAGAGAAAAAAGCUCAAUAAGCUAAACUAAUUGAAGGCUACAUAUAAUAGAUGUGCAGGCUUUUAGAUUCUGGAGAACUCCUUUCCUGUAAACCUCUCCCAGAAGGUUAGCAGCCAGUAAAAAUAUUGUUAGAUCUACUAGAAAACAAAUCAAACAAGAUGGAAAUUGGAUCUUGUUGCAUAAAAACUUGAGCCAACAAGUUAUUUCAGGAAGUCAUUGUAUGUUUUGAUGUUUGUCCAAACAUAAUUCCUAAAUGAAUUUAUCACAAUAUACUCACGGGAGUCAGGGAGGCCAAAGAACUGGAAUUGUAAGCUGUACUUUCUGAACCGUGACUAGAUAUGUCAGUUGAUCUGCAACUUGGUGGCCCUGAAAAAUCUGUUCUCUCUGUUAUGGAAAUUCUAUGAAGAGAAUCUGGUAUUUUACUUCUCUUUGAAGCUUUAGGUGAUGUAACUUGUUUAUUUGUCUUCAAAUUCUCACAUGGUCUUACUUGAAAGGAAUCAUUGACUCUAUCAGAAGUUAUUCCGCUACUUCUGCCUUUACUGCUUGAAACAGUUCUUUGUGAGCUAGUACGAGUCAGUGAAGACGAGCCAUUGAAAUGGGAGGAUGUGGAUCUGCAUCAAUGCUAGUGGUGUGAGUAAAUACUUGGAGUUCUAAAACAACAGGCUUAGACCCCAAUCCAGGAAAUUAAGAAGUGGACUAUUAGCAAAAUUCUUCAUAGAGAAGAAGAAGCGCUUUCAGAUGCUGUGACUUGUGUGGGUUUGUGCUUUUGCUGUCUUCGGAUUUCUGAGACCUGCUUGCUAAUCGGGAAGCCUGAACUUUUCCUUUCAAUAUGACAUAUACUCCACAAGAUUCUGGUGCAAGUUUGAGCAAGCUGGUUGGCACAUCUGGAUUUCUAAGUUUCCUGAAAAGACAAUUUCCAGAAUGAUGUUAGGAAAACACGAACCACACCCACACCCUUGGACUGCUUGAUACCAAACAGUUUUACUAGGAGAAACAAUCAUGUGCGGGGAAUAUAUCUAGUACUAGUAAUUGCCGAAAAAAUUUACUACAAUUUUCUGCAAUGAAUUUCUGUUCUUUAUUCUGACCUGCAAAUAAGAGUUUGUUUUAUCUUGCUUUUAUGUUGCUGAGUUCAUACUACCCCAUGUCAUUUACAUAAAUUCAAAGAACAAAUAUCAGUUAGCAAGUCCUA